rnacentral:rRNA from 1 species
UACGUAGGGUGCAAGCGUUAUCCGGAAUGAUUGGGCGUAAAGCGUCCGCAGGUGGCAAUGUAAGUCUGCUGUUAAAGAGUCUAGCUCAACUAGAUAAAAGCAGUGGAAACUACAUAGCUAGAGUACGUUCGGGGCAGAGGGAAUUCCUGGUGUAGCGGUGAAAUGCGUAGAGAUCAGGAGGAACACCAGUGGCGAAGGCGCUCUGCUAGGCCGUAACUGACACUGAGGGACGAAAGCUAGGGGAGCGAAUGGG